rnacentral:rRNA from 1 species
AUUGAACGCUGGCGGCAGGCUUAACACAUGCAAGUCGAGCGAGCGGCGGACGGGUGAGUAAUGUCUGGGAAACUGCCUGAUGGAGGGGGCUAACUACUGGAAACGGUAGCUAAUACAGCAUACCAUCAGAUGUGCCCCGAUGGGCUUAGCUAGUAGGUGGGGUAAUGGCUAACCUAGGCGACGCUCCCUAGCGGGGCUGAGAGGAUGACCAGCCCCAAUGGAACUGAGACACGGGCCAGAGUCCUUCGUGCGGCAUAAGUGGGGAAGAUUGCAAAAAUGGCGCAAGCCUGAUGCGGCCAGGCCGCGUGUGUGAAGAAGGCCUUCGGGGUUUAAAGCACUUUCAUCGAGGAGGCGUGACUCGCAGAAGAAGCACCGGAUAACUCCGUGCCAGCAGCCGCGGUAAUUC